rnacentral:rRNA from 1 species
UACGGAGGGUGCAAGCGUUGUCCGGAUUUAUUGGGUUUAAAGGGUGCGUAGGCGGUUUGGUAAGUCGGCGAUGAAAGCCCGGGGCUCAACCCCGGAACUGUCGUCGAUACUGUCGAACUUGAGUACGGUUGAGGCUGGCGGAAUGGGCGGUGUAGCGGUGAAAUGCAUAGAUACCGUCCAGAACCCCGAUUGCGAAGGCAGCUGGCUAAGCCGUAACUGACGCUGAGGCACAGAAAGCGUAGGGAGCAAC